rnacentral:rRNA from 1 species
UGCCAGCCGCCGCGGUAAGACGAAGGUGGCAACCGUUGUUCGGAAUCACUGGGCAUAAAGCGCGCGUAGGCGGCUUUGUAAGUCAGGUGUGAAAUCCCUCGGCCCAACCGAGGAACUGCGCUUGAAACUACAUAGCUUGAGGACAGCAGGGGAAUGUGGAAUUCCUGGUGGAGCGGUGAAAUGCGUUGAUAUCAGGAGGAACACCAGCGGCGAAGGCGGCAUUCUGGGCUGUUUCUGACGCUAAGGCGCGAAAGCCAGGGUAGCAAACGGGAUUAGAUA